rnacentral:rRNA from 1 species
GUGGGCUUUGAUAUAUCCGGCGAGGGGAAGGCGGAGAGUUGUAGCUGGCCUCUAGGGGCAUGUGCACGCUCUCUUCCGGACCUUUCGCCGUAUGGGCGCGGGGCGACCCGCGUCUUCAUAUACCUCUUCGUGUAGAAAGUCUUUGAAUGUUUUACCAUCAUCGAGUCGCGACUUCUAGGAGACGCGAUUCUUUGAGAAAAAAGUUAUCACAACUUUCAGCAACGGAUCUCUUGGCUCUCGCAUCGAUGAAGAACGCAGCGAAUCGCGAUAUGUAAUGUGAAUUGCAGAUCUACAGUGAAUCAUCGAAUCUUUGAACGCACCUUGCGCUCCUCGGUGUUCCGAGGAGCAUGCCUGUUUGAGUGUCAGUAAAUUCUCAACCCCUCUCGAUUUGCUUCGAGCGGGUGCUUGGAUGUUGGGGGCUGCCGGAGACACUGGACUCGUCCAGGACUCGGGCUCCUCUUAAAUGAAUCGGCUCGCGGUCGACUUUCGACUUUGCAUGACAAGGCCUUUGGCGUGAUAAUGAUCGCCGUUCGCCGAAGUGCAAGACAGAAUGGUCCCGUGCCUCUAAUGCGUCGACGCCUCUAGGGGCGUCUUCCUCAUUGACGUUUGACCUCAAAUCAGGUAGGACUACCCGCUGAACUUAAGCAUAUCAAAAGCGGGGAGGAAA